UAUUUUUUUUUUUUCAUUUGAUUUUGAAGCCCUGAUUUCAAUAAUCCAAUUUCUUUAAUUUUCAUAAUAAUUUCAUGGGUUUUAUGCUUAUUAAUUCAUUUCUAUGGUUUGUUUAUGAGCAGUUGGUUCAUACAUGAAUCUCUUGGCUUGAACGUUACUUGGUUUUUUUGUUUUUUUAUUUUUUUUCUUGUACAAUUUUAAUUAAUUCUUAGUUUCAAAACGAUGGGUGUGCACCAAUCGGAAUUUCGUUUCAGUAUAAUCAUGGGUUGACACUCGUUGAUGAAUUUCUUGGGUUUAAGGUUUUAAUAUUUGUUUAAAGCUUCAUAUUCUUUAAUUUUUUAGUGAAAACAAUGUCGUCUGUGGCUAUUGUACUUGCCUCAAUUAACAGUAAGGCAAUAUUUUCUCACAACCAUUUUCACACCCAACCCAGAUUAUUUUCAAGCGAAUCAAUUCUGAUUUAUCUAGCGUUUUCGGGUUCAAAUAUUCCAAUGCGUGUAAUGGGAUCUAUUUCAAUUGAGGCUGUGAAACUUAGAGUCUAAAAUUGUAGAGGGUUUGUUGUGAAGAAAUAGAAAUUGGUUUGUGGGGACAAAGAAUUGGCAAGGAACAAUUCUCUUGUCCGGGACUAUGGGGUUUCAGAUGGGAAUGUUUUUCAUUUGGUUCUCAAGCUCUCUGAAUUGCAAAUCAUCAAUGUUAGGACUGCAUAUGGAGAAGAGUUUACUUUCCAUGUUGAGAGGUCCAAGGAUGUGGGGUAUGUUAAGCAGCAGGUUGCUAAGAAGGGGAAAGGUUUGGUCAAUGUUGAAGAUCAAGAAAUUGUGUGUGAUGGCAAGUGGGUUGAUGGAAAAUGGAUUUGUUGUUGUUGUAUUUGAGAUAACAAAUAGAGUUGAGAAUAAGGAUGAACACGUGGAGAAAUGAAAUUUGGGAUGAGGGUCCCGUAAGCUUAAUUUAAAUUUGAUAUUGCAUGUAAAAUAUACGUUGAAGUGGCUGGCCAAGCAUGGCCACCUUCCAAAUACGACUCCUCAGGCCACGUGUCACCCUCCUAAUUCAUUUUUUUUAUGUUAAAAUAAAAAUUGAUCUUUUAAAAAAAUUUGAUCUUUUAAAAAUUCCAUUCUCAAAUAAUUUUUCGAAAUUCAAAUUUUAAAUUUUAAUUUUCAAAACUUCUGUUUUCAAAUAAUUUUUCAAAAUUCCAAUUCUUAAAUUUAAUUUUCAAAUUUUCAUUUUCAAAUAAUUUUCCGAAACUUCAAUUCUUAAAUUUAAUUUUCAAAACUCUAAUUCUCAAAUAAUUUUCAAAAUUCCAAUUUCUUUCAAAUUUAAUUUCCAAAAUUCCAAUUCUUAAAACUAAUUUUCAAAACUCCAAUUCUCAAUUAAUUUUCAAAACUCCAAUUUCUCUCAAAUUUAAUUUCCAAAACUCCAAUUCCUAAAUUUAAUUUUCAAAACUCCAAUUCUCAAAUAAUUUUCAAAAUUCCAAUUCCUUCCAAAUUUAAUUUCCAAAAUUUUAAUUCUUAAAUUUAAUUUUCAAAACUCCAAUUCUCAAAUAAUUUUCAAAAUUCAAAUUUCUUUCAAAUUUAAUUUCCAAAAUUCCAAUUCUUAAAUUUAAUUUUCAAAACUCCAAUUCUCAAAUAAUUUUCAAAACUCCAAUUCUCAAAUAAUUUUCAAAAUUCCAAUUUCUUUCAAAUUUAAUUCCCAAAAUUCCAAUUCUUAAAUUUAAUUUUAAAAACUCCAAGUCUCAAAUAAUUUUCAAAAUGCUAAUUUCUUUCAAAUUUAAUAUCCAAAAUUCCCAUUCUUAAAUUUAAUUUUCAAAACUCCAAUUCUCAAAACUAUUUUCAAAACUCCAAUUCUCAAAUAAUUUUCAAAAUUUCAAUUUCUUUCAAAUUUAAUUUCCAAACUCUAUUUCUUAAAGUUAAUUUUCAAAACUUCAAUUCUCAAAACUAUUUUCAAAACUCUAAUUCUCAAAUAAUUUUCAAAAUUCCAAUUUCUUUCAAAUUUAAUUUCUAAAAUUCCCAUUCUUAAAUUUAAUUUUCAAUAUUCCAAUUUUCAAAUAAUUUUUGAGACUUCAAUUUCCAAAUAAAUUUCAAAACUCUAGUUUACUUUCAAAUAGUUUUAAUUCCACUCCAGUUUUCAAAUAUUUUUUUAAUUCUACAACUUUUCAUCCUUUAUUAGGGUUUUAGGUCACCAAAAAUCCUUAUUUUAAUAAGCUUGUUGCCAUUCUCAUUUUGGUAUGCACUUGUACAAAUUUUCUUCGAUUUUCAAAUAAUUUGUUGUUUCUCUUGAUUUUAAAUAAGCAAGAAUGAUUUUCAAGAUUCUAAAACAAUGGAAUUUAUGGGAUUAGUUUAUGCAAAAUCAAUUGGGUUUUGGUGGGGGCCCUACAUAUGAGUUUUCUCUUCUGAUUGUCAACUGGUAUACUUAAUGAAUAUCGCUUGAUCUUUCUCUUUGAUAUGCAUGUGAUAAUUUUAUACUUGAACUAACCUUUUUUCAUGAUAGCGCUUUAUUACCUGCUGCUAAGGUACACUCUCACUCUCAUUUUGUUUAUUUAUUCGUUAUUAUGGUUUGCUUUUGAUCCAUGAUCAUUUUGGUAUCCAUUGAUCUCCUAGUUAAUUGUCACGUUUGUUUCACCUUAUUUAGUAAAAACCCGUUUUUAGGGGCUAAGAGGGAUGCUAUGGUCUUUACCGUACCUUUCAAAUAGGCAAUCUGACCCCCGAACAUAGACUUAGUUUUUCACAAACAUGUUUUUCUUUCAGAUAUCACUUAAGGUUUUUCUUUUUUAUUUUGUUUUUCCCUUUAAAAAUAAAACAAAAAUAAGUGGCGACUCCAAGUCUUUUUCUAAAAAUCACAUUUUCACCAAACCAAUAAAAAAACGAGUUUUGUCAUCGAGUGGGAACGCAUUGAGCGAAAUGCAAGGUCCAUAAACGAUUUUUUUAAUAAAAAAUCUAUAAAUUGAUUUUUAAAUAAAUGGUCCUAGAACCCUUUUUAAAAUAAAAAAAAAACAAUUUUAAAAUGUUUUUCUAUUAAAUAAAGAGUCUAGAUUUUUUUUAUUAAAUAAGAGGAACUAGAAACCUUUUUUUUAUUAUUAUUAAGUAAACCAUCCUAAAAUCAGUUUUGAAAAAUAAGAGGAUUCAUAAAUCUUUUUUUAUUAUUAAAUAAUCAGUUUGGAUUUUUUUUCAAUAAAUAAAAGGUUUAGAAAUCAUUUUUAUUAAAUAAAACAGUCUGAAAAUCAUGUUUAAAAAAAAUAUUUAAAAAAUCCAAAAAAAAAAAUUUUAAUAAAAAUGAAAGAAGUCCAUAAUUUUAUUUUUAUUUUAUUUAAAAAAACAAUCUGGAAAAUAUUUUUAAAAAAGAGUCCAAAAUGUUUUAAAAUAAAAGUAUAUUUAUUUCUAAAUAAUAGUCCUAAUUUUAUUUUAUUUUUACCUGUCCUAAUUAUAAUUUUUAAUAAACCAACCAAAAAUGCCUUUUUUAAGAAAAAAUAUUAAAAAUUUUGGAGUAUUUUAAAUAAAAAAAAAUUGCAAAAUCUUGAUUUUUGUAAAAAAAAAGAAAAAAAAGAAAAAAAAAUCUUUGAAGAUAAAAUUACAAAAACCCUUUUAAUUGAAGAGGUAAUAAAAUCCCUUCUGCAUUUUUUUUUCUUUAAAUUUUUCUCUAAAAAUAAUAAUAACCUCUUCUAAUAAAUUUGAUUUUCUUUGAAAAUUAUUGAAUAAAGUUUAAAACUCUUUUUAAUAAAAUUGAAGAACCUAUUCUUAAAAUAAAGUUAAACUCAUUUUGAAAAUAUGCUUUUAAUGAAAUUAAAUAAGACUCCCUUUCCAUAAAUAGAUUGGAAUUGGAAAUAAUUUUAUAAAUAGAGUUUAUAAAAUAAAUGUUUUCUUUAAUAAGAAUGGGAUGAAAAUCUUUAUAUAUAUAUAUAUAAAUUAAAAUUGCAGAAAUUAUUUUUCUAAUAAAUUAAAUAACUAAAAGAAGUGAGACUCCAAUUUUUCAAAAAUUAGUUUUUCAUUGAGUGGGAGAAUAUAUGUAAAAAAAAUAUAGAUCCACAAAAUUAUUUUAAUACAACUAAAGUGAUGUUUGAUUUUUUUUAAAAAAAUUUAAUAUUGAAUGCAAUUUACUGUCAAAUUUUAGAUAAUUUAUUUUUCACUUAUUUCUUAUUUUGAAAAUCUUUUGGAUGAAUAGAAAAAACUUAAAUAUUUAACUUUAAUUUAAAUAGUUAAAAAUAAUUUUUUAAAACAAUCAAAAUAUAAUCUCAACAUGAACCUCACCUUAUUAAUAUUUAAUAUUUAAUAAAAAUACAAAUAAUGAAAUAAGUUUAACCUUCAAAUUACAAAAGAGUUACAUGAAUGGACAUAAUUAUGACAUGAUUAUUCCUAACCCAAAGUCACUAAGAUUUGAGUCAACAACACAUGAGAUUCCAAGUCAACGAUUUACUUUCCCCCUCUUCCUUCCUAUCGUGUUUUGGUCGGUGGCUAAUCUGCAGACGCGUUUUCUUCAUGGAAAAUUUAGGAAGAUUUUGAUUUCCUCUCCAUUGACUUUGGUAUACUUGAGAAGCUAACAAUUGUUUGUCCAACAAACGCUGACGUUGACCGUUAAUAACUGGUUGACCCUUUUCCACCCACUCCACUUGACAAAUUUAAUUUUUGAUAUUUAGGUUUUAUUAUUUAAUUUUUACUUUUAAGUAUUAAAUUGCUACUAAAAAUUAUUAGUUUAUUCUUCUACUAAUAUUACUGGGCAUUAUUUGUUAAUCUCCAAGGUAUAAUAACCCCAAAUGUAAAACAAAUUUGAUGUGUUUUUAAUAUUUAAAAUAUAUAUAUAUUCUAAGCAAAUAAUUAGAAAUAUAUAAAACAUUUUUUAAUAUUUAUAUUAUAUACAUCACUUUCACUAAAAAUUUUUUUUUUUUUUAAACCUAUUAAUUAUUUUUAAGAGUUGUUAUCAAAAACUAUUUGUGAAAAUAUUCCCAAAGGAGUUGAACCAUUAAAUGCUCAAAAAGAUCAAACAGAAUCUCUUUUGGUUUCUACAAAGUAGUUACACAAAUGUGCACUCAAAGAGACCUGAUGUACAACAUUGCUUCCCUUAUUUGUCCACACCACUUUGUACCAGAAAAAGAAAAUAAAUAAAAAACUGCUUCACUGUCUUGAAGGGCACAUGGCUUUUUUAACCGGAAAACAAAUUGGCAAUAUCAGAGGCAUUUCAGCAUUCCUGUGAAGAGAAGUUUGCUCAGGAACCAGAAUUUCAACGAAGCCAAUCUAAGUCAACUGUGUCGUCAAUCUUCAAAUUGGUGAAAUGGUGCUCUUCCCACAGCUCGGCUGUCUCUGUGUCACAGAUUACUUUCUCCAACUGCUUCAGAUCCAUGAUUGAUG
rnacentral:lncRNA from 1 species